UAUAUAGUUGAGAUAGAAUACUCUCAAAAACACCAAAAAAGUGGUGUUUUUGAGAUUUAGGCAUUGAAUAGAGAGAUGUAUACGGGCGUGUUUGGUUCGAAGUCGGAAUCGGAAUCGGAAUCGGAAUCAAAAUAAGCUGGAAUCGGAAUCGGAAUGACUCAUUACCUAAUUCUGUUUGGUUCAUCACCUGAAUCAGAAUCAGAAUAAAUCAUUCUCAUUGUCGGUGCUUGGUUCAGGUGGAUAUAAAAAACGUAAUCAAAUUAAUAUACGAACGUUAUCUUUAUAAUAUAUUAAUUUAAAUUCAAAUUAAAUAUUAAAUAUUAAAAAUUUACAUCAAAAUUUUGAAAUAAUGUCAAAAUUUUAAAUAUAUUUUGUUUAAAAA
rnacentral:lncRNA from 1 species